rnacentral:lncRNA from 11 species
UUCAGUUUGCAGAGCCUAGACUACCAGAACAACCUUUCUUUCAAAUCACAAAUCUAAUUCCUACAAGGCAAGUCCAGAUUCCACGGUAUGCCAUUCAGCCAUCAAUACAGCAGACGUUUCAACAGGUAGAAGCCCAUCCACCUGUUGACCCACAACAGCAGCCGCUGCCAGCAGAGAGACAAACUCAUCAGAUCUAUCCAGCUCUGCAUGGAACCCAACAAGACCCAUCUCAACAACUGCAGCAACAAUCUGUAAGUUCAUUCUUAAAAUUAUUGCCGACAUACUGAUCUUCCUCCCAUCCUG